GCUCCUUUAGCUCAGUCUGGUUAGAGCGCACGUCUUAUAUACGUGUUGUCGCUGGUUCAAAUCCAGCAAGGAGUACCA
rnacentral:tRNA from 1 species